rnacentral:rRNA from 1 species
UAGGGAAUAUUGCACAAUGGGCGAAAGCCUGAUGCAGCAACGCCGCGUGUGCGAAGAAGGCCUUCGGGUCGUAAAGCACUUUUCUGAGAGAUGAGAAAGGACAGUAUCUCAGGAAUAAGUCUCGGCUAACUACGUGCCAGCAGCCGCGGUAAAACGUAGGAGGCGAGCGUUAUCCGGAUUCACUGGGCGUAAAGCGCGUGCAGGCGGUUCGGUAAGUUGGGCGUGAAAUCUCCUGGCUCAACUAGGAGAGGUCGUUCAAUACUACCGGACUUGAGAGCGGUAGAGGAAGAUGGAAUUCCCGGUGUAGUGGUGAAAUGCGUAGAUAUCGGGAGGAACACCAGUGGCGAAGGCGAUCUUCUGGACCGUUUCUGACGCUCAGACGCGACAGCUAGGGUAGCAAACGGGAUUAGAGACCCCGGUAGUCCUAGCCGUAAACGAUGUGAACUUGGCGUCGGUGGGUUAAACUCCAUCGGUGCCGCAGCUAACGCGAU